GACGAACGCUGGCGGCGUGCUUAACACAUGCAAGUCGAACGGAAAGGCCCUGCUUUUGUGGGGUGCUCGAGUGGCGAACGGGUGAGUAACACGUGAGUAACCUGCCCUUGACUUUGGGAUAACUUCAGGAAACUGGGGCUAAUACCGGAUAGGAGCUCCUGCUGCAUGGUGGGGGUUGGAAAGUUUCGGCGGUUGGGGAUGGACUCGCGGCUUAUCAGCUUGUUGGUGGGGUAGUGGCUUACCAAGGCUUUGACGGGUAGCCGGCCUGAGAGGGUGACCGGCCACAUUGGGACUGAGAUACGGCCCAGACUCCAACGGGAGGCAGCAGUGGGGAGUAUUGCACAAUGGGCGGAAGCCUGAUGCAGCAACGCCGCGUGCGGGAUGACGGCCUUCGGGUUGUAAACCGCUUUCGCCUGUGACGAAGCGUGAGUGACGGUAAUGGGUAAAGAAGCACCGGCUAACUACGUG
rnacentral:rRNA from 1 species